AUUUUUGGAUAAUCGCGUGGUAGUCAUUACCAUGAGGAAAGUCCAUGCUAGCACUGGCUGUGAUGCCGGUAGUGUUUGUGCUAGGCGAAUGCAUAAGCCUAGGGACGUCUCAGACGUUACGGCAGCUAAAAUGGCUAAGUCUUCGGAUAUGCCAAAGUAGGCUUGAAAGUGCCACAGUGACGAAGUUUUUAUGGAAACGUAAAAAAUGGAACGCGGUAAACCCCUCAAGCUAGCAACCCAAACUUUGGUCGGGGCAUGGGACGGAUGGAAACGAACAGAAGUCCUGACUGUUUUUUGAAAACGGUAGACAGAUGAUUAUCGAAAGCGAUAGUGCCUAGUAUCGCUGGAACAAAACAUGGCUUAUAGAA
rnacentral:RNase_P_RNA from 1 species